rnacentral:rRNA from 1 species
UACUGCGGGUGCAAGCGUUACUCGGAAUCACUGGGCGUAAAGGAUGCGUAGGCUGGAAAUCCAGUCGAGAGUGAAAUCCAACGGCUCAACCGUUGAACUGCUCUCGAAACUGGUUACCUAGAAUAUGGGAGAGGUAGAUGGAAUUAGUGGUGUAGGGGUAAAAUCCGUAGAUAUCACUAGGAAUACCGAUUGCGAAGGCGAUCUAAUGGAACAUUAUGGAAGCUGAGGCAUGACCGCGUGGGGAGCCCACAGGAUUAGAUACCACUGUAGUCC